UACGUAGGGGGCAAGCGUUGUCCGGAAUCAUUGGGCGUAAAGCGCGUGUAGGCGGCUCGAUAAGUCUGCUGUGAAAGUCCAGGGCUCAACCCUGGAAAGCCGGUGGAAACUGUCGGGCUAGAGUCCGGAAGGGGCGAGUGGAAUUCCUGGUGUAGCGGUGAAAUGCGCAGAUAUCAGGAGGAACACCAAUGGCGAAGGCAGCUCGCUGGGACUGUACUGACGCUGAGACGCGAAAGCGUGGGGAGCAAACAGG
rnacentral:rRNA from 1 species